CCCCCCUCAAGAUGAGAUUUCCCAACUUCGGUUAUAAGAUCCCUCAAAGAUGAUGAGGUUAAUAGGUUCGAGGUGGAAGCAUGGUGACAUGUGGAGCUGACGAAUACUAAUCGAUCGAAGACUUAAUCAAAA
rnacentral:rRNA from 3 species